AUCUCCCCUCCGGCACGGGGAGGUAGUGACAAAAAAUAACGAUACGCGACUCUAUUGAGGCCCCGUAAUCGGAAUGAGUACACUUUAAAUCCUCUAACAAGGAUCCAUUGGAGGGCAAGUCUGGUGCCAGCAGCCGCGGUAAUUCCAGCUCCAAUAGCGUAUAUUAAAGUUGUUGCGGUUAAAAAGCUCGUAGUUGGUUCUGCGUGCCACGCUGUCGGUUCGCCGCCUGUCGGUGUAACUGGCAUGUCGUGGCAUGUCCUGUCGGUGGUAAACGGGGUCCCUGGUACGACGUAGGCUUUUAUAGCUGAAAUCUGUACCGUGUGUGUUCCCGUUUACCGAUCUCUCCUACUCCGGUGCUCUUAAACGAGUGUCGAGGUAGGCCGACACGUUCACUUUGAACAAAUUAGAGUGCUUAAAGCAGGCUAAAAUAUCUGCCUGAAUAGUGGUGCAUGGAAUGAUAAAACAGGACCUCAGUUCUAUUUUGUUGGUUUUAGGAAUAUGAGGUAAUGAUCAAUGUGGACUGGCGGGGGCAUUCGUAUUGCGACGUUAGAGGUGAAAUUCUUGGAUCGUCGCAAGACGCACUAGAGCGAAAGCAUUUGCCAAGUAUGUCUUAAUUGAUCAAGAACGAAAGUUAGAGGUUCGAAGGCGAUCAGAUACCGCCCUAGUUCUAACCAUAAACGAUGCCAGCCAGCGAUCCGCCGAUGUUCCUUUAAUGACUCGGCGGGGAGCUUCUACUCGGGAAACCAAAGCUUUUGGGUUCCGGGGGAAGUAUGGUUGCAAAGCUGAAACUUAAAGGAAUUGACGGAAGGGCACCACCAGGAGUGAGCUGCGCCUU
rnacentral:rRNA from 1 species